rnacentral:rRNA from 1 species
AUAGUGUCUGGAAACGGACAGUAAUACCGUAUAACAUAUAUUGAUCGCAUGGUUGAUAUAUCAAAACUGAGGUGCCGAAGGAUGGGCUCGCGUCUGAUUAGAUAGUUGGUGGGGUAACGGCCUACCAAGUCGACGAUCAGUAGCCGGACUGAGAGGUUGAACGGCCACAUUGGGACUGAGACACGGCCCAGACUCCUACGGGAGGCAGCAGUGGGGAAUAUUGCACAAUGGGGGAAACCCUGAUGCAGCAACGCCGCGUGAAGGAAGACGGUUUUCGGAUUGUAAACUUCUGUUCUUAGUGAAGAAUAAUGACGGUAGCUAAGGAGCAAGCCACGGCUAACUACGUGCCAGCAGCCGCGGUAAUACGUAGGUGGCAAGCGUUGUCCGGAAUUACUGGGUGUAAAGGGAGCGUAGGCGGGAUGCCAAGUCAGCUGUGAAAACUAUGGGCUUAACUUGUAGACUGCAGUUGAAACUGGUAUUCUUGAGUGAAGUGGAGGUUGGCGGAAUUCCGAGUGUAGCGGUGAAAUGCGUAGAUAUUCGGAGGAACACCGGUGGCGAAGGCGGCCAACUGGGCUUUAACUGACGCUGAGGCUCGAAAGUGUGGGGAGCAAACAGGAUUAGAUACCCUGGUAGUCCACACUGUAAAC